UACUUGUGUUGCAGUGGGGUGAUGGCGGGUCUGUGGUGGUCAACGGUGAGCUUUAUGAGGAGGAACUCGGUAGAUGUAAUGAACUCUCCACAUUAAAGGAGCUUAAAGAUGUUACUGGUCUCCAUACUUCCAUGCUUGCUUAUGGCUUUAAAAAGAUGGCAAGAACGUCCAGAGGUAACAUCCAUGUAUUUAAGCAUCCGAACUUCUCAAUCAAAUCAGCCCAUCUUAAAAAGGAUGUCAAGAGAGAAUCUGAAGUUCCCCCCGCAAAGAGGAGAAAGGCCAGGAGCCUGUAUCAGUAUAUAAACAAUGAGUUCACACUUCCAGACAGCCAUCACUCAGAGGUGA